GAUGAACGCUGGCGGCGUGCCUAAUACAUGCAAGUCGAGCGAAUGGAUUAAGAGCUUGCUCUUAUGAAGUUAGCGGCGGACGGGUGAGUAACACGUGAGUAACCUGCCCAUAAGACUGGGAUAACUCCGGGAAACCGGGGCUAAUACCGGAUAACAUUUUGAACCGCAUGGUUCGAAAUUGAAAGGCGGCUUCGGCUGUCACAUAUGGAUGGACCCGCGUCGCAUUAGCUAGUUGGUGAGGUAACGGCUCACCAAGGCAACGAUGCGUAGCCGACCUGAGAGGGUGAUCGGCCACACUGGGACUGAGACACGGCCCAGAAUCCUACGGGAGGCAGCAGUAGGGAAUCUUCCGCAAUGGACGAAAGUCUGACGGAGCAACGCCGCGUGAGUGAUGAAGGCUUUCGGGUCGUAAAACUCUGUUGUUAGGGAAGAACAAGUGCUAGUUGAAUAAGCUGGCACCUUGACGGUACCUAACCAGAAAGCCACGGCUAACUACGUGCCAGCCGCCGCAGUAA
rnacentral:rRNA from 1 species